ACGUCAGCUUUCCUGUUGCUCUGAUGCUGCCUGGCCUGCUGUGUUCAUCCAGCUCUACACCUUGUUAUCUUAGCUGAAAGUGUAACCUCCAAUUAGAAUGUAGUUCUGUAUGAAGUACUGACUGUGCUCCUCUAAACCAGCAAACCUUAAUGGUUUUUGUAAUAUUUUAUUAUCCUUGAUUAAAGACUGCAGUAAUUUCCUGAUAACAGAUGUUGGGCUAAUUGAUGUCUGUCACAGAUGUAAAUCAUUAUACAGACAUGUAUCUUUUGCUUUUCCUCACUAAUUAGUUAUGAAUUGUUGGGAAAGUUGAUCAUAUCAAAACAAGUCAAGAAUUGUUUCUUUUCUCUUCGAACACAGUGCUGGAGGUGUUGAAAUGUAUAACUGUACAGGAAAAAUAAAGGUUUCCAACACCUUGGAGAGUAGAUUGGACCUCAUUGCACAGCAGAUGAUGCCGAAUAUCAGAGUGGCUUUGUUUGGUGCCAAUCAAAACCGGAAGUUCUUGGACUAAAUGCUAUGCUUUAGACCUGGUAUUGUAUCCAAACAAUACAGUAAAAAGAUGUAAAAGUUACAGACAUAAUUUGAAGGAAAUGAUCUAUUGUACUUGCUGUUCUGUCGUGUUGUAUCUAAACUGUUUGAAACCACUUCAUUUGGUUGUUUCUAUCUUAACUAAGGGAAAUUUCCAAAAGGCAUUGGAAGAUCAUUGGGCUUAUGGAGGAACUCCAGAUUAUUAAUGUCAGUUGUACUUUUUGUAUGCAUUAAACUGUUUUUCUUUCCCAAAUGUGAUCGAAGCUUUAGGAAUGUUGUGUUUUGUAGCACAAGAGUCAGUCAUUGCAGCACACAGGUGAUUUCCCUAAAUAUGAAGAAAAUAUUACAUCUCUCGUGUUGCGGAUAAGUCAAACCUGUACUAUUUAAUUGCAUUGAAAUGGUCAUUUUGUUUUCAGGUACUGUAUGUGUAUAUAUGGUUCUGAAAUAAACAUCUUUUGCUGGA